GUGGGGAAUCUUGCGCAAUGGGCGAAAGCCUGACGCAGCCAUGCCGCGUGAAUGAUGAAGGUCUUAGGAUUGUAAAAUUCUUUCACCGGGGACGAUAAUGACGGUACCCGGAGAAGAAGCCCCGGCUAACUUCGUGCCAGCAGCCGCGGUAAUACGAAGGGGGCUAGCGUUGCUCGGAAUUACUGGGCGUAAAGGGCGCGUAGGCGGACAGUUUAGUCAGAGGUGAAAGCCCAGGGCUCAACCUUGGAAUUGCCUUUGAUACUGACUGUCUUGAGUACGGGAGAGGUGAGUGGAACUCCGAGUGUAGAGGUGAAAUUCGUAGAUAUUCGGAAGAACACCAGUGGCGAAGGCGACUCACUGGCCCGUUACUGACGCUGAGGCGCGAAAGCGUGGGGAGCAAACAGGAUUAGAAACCCGUGUAGUCC
rnacentral:rRNA from 1 species